rnacentral:pre_miRNA from 1 species
CUAGUACUCCCUCCGUCCGGAAAUACUUGUCCUAGGAAUGGAUGUAUCUAUAAGUAAAAUAAGUCUAGAUACAACCAUUCCUAGGACAAGUAUUUCCGGACAGAGGGAGUAACAA